UACGGAGGGUGCGAGCGUUAAUCGGAAUCACUGGGCGUAAAGCGCGCGUAGGCGGUUUGUUAAGUGGGAUGUGAAAUCCCCGGGCUUAACCUGGGAAUUGCAUUUCAAACUGGCCGACUAGAGUACGGUAGAGGGAGGUAGAAUUUCCUGUGUAGCGGUGAAAUGCGUAGAUAUAGGAAGGAAUACCAGUGGCGAAGGCGGCCUCCUGGAUCGAUACUGACGCUGAGGCGCGAAAGCGUGGGGAGCAAACAGG
rnacentral:rRNA from 1 species